UAGAAUUCGUGGAGCAGUCCAAGACGCUGGUUAGAGAUAGGUAAUCAAGACACAAAUGAACAAAACUGUUUUACUUUGGAGUUGGAGCAAUGGCCAGGAUUGUUGGAUUCGUGACCUCUUGAUUACUGAAAAUGUUACCUCGACAUCUUUUUAGAAUACUCAGAUGUAAUUCAUUCCCAGUUUUUGUAACUCGCAAUGUGAAUAUGUCACAUUACGCUUAUACUGAAUUUUGCACUUGUACUAUAGUUAGAUC